AUUGAACGCUGGCGGCAGGCCUAACACAUGCAAGUCGAGCGAGCGGCGGACGGGUGAGUAAUGUAUGGGGACUGCCCGAUAGAGGGGGAUAACUACUGGAAAAGGUGGCUAAUACCGCAUACUAUCGGAUAACCCAGAAGGGAUUAGCUAGUAGGUGGGGUAAAGGCUCACCUAGGCGACGAUGUCUAGCUGGGCUUAGAGGAUAAUUGGCCAAACGUGAACUGCUGCACGGCCCAGACUCCUACGGAGGCAGCAGUGGGGAAUAUUGCACAAUGGGUGCAAGCCUGAUGCAGCCAUGCCGCGUGUAGGAAGAAGGCCUUAGGGUUGUAAAGUACUUUCAGCGGGGAGGCGUUACCCGCAGAAGAAGCACCGGCUAACUCCGUGCCAGCAGCCGCGGUAAUAC
rnacentral:rRNA from 1 species